rnacentral:rRNA from 1 species
UACGUAGGGGGCAAGCGUUGUCCGGAUUUAUUGGGCGUAAAGAGCGUGUAGGCGGCCACACAGGUCAGCUGUGAAAACUCGAGGCUCAACCUCGAGACGUCGGUUGAAACCGUACGGCUAGAGUCCGGAAGAGGAGAGUGGAAUUCCCGGUGUAGCGGUGAAAUGCGCAGAUAUCGGGAAGAACACCCGUGGCGAAGGCGGCUCUCUGGGACGGUACUGACGCUGAGACGCGAAAGCGUGGGGAGCGAACAGG